AUAGGAACCACUUGCUGACCUAGUUAAAAUGUAGAAUCUGAUUUUGGGUCUGAAGUAAGGCUUGAGUGAGAUUCUGCAUUUUUAACAAGCUCCCAGGUGGUUCACAG
rnacentral:pre_miRNA from 1 species